UCGGCAAAACCCUAAGAUGCAGGCGCCUUCUCUUUUCUUUUACUCUCUCAAUCUUUUCCGAAGAAGAAGAAGAAGAGCUAGUUAAUGGAUCUUGAAAGAGAAGAAACAGCGGAAAGAUGCUAAGAACGAAAUUGUAACCAAUCUUCAAGUGAAAGAGGAGGAGAUGCAGACCACGAAAUUUCAAUUUCCAACUAAAGAGGUUGAUAAAGAUUUGGUGGUGGAACUAACUAAAGCCUUAGGAAGACAGGGCAUAGAUUUGCCCUUGUUGCAGCUUUGGUGAAUGAUACAAUUGGUGCAUUAGCAGGAGGCAAAUACUUCAAUAAUGAUGUUACAGUUGCAGUUAUUUUUGGAACUGGAACAAAUGCAGCAUAUGUAAAGGGUGCACAAGACAUUCCUAUGUGGCAUGGUCUCCUACCUAAACAAGGAGAGAUAGACUCCUGAAAUGUCCGUUGGUUGGUCUUUGCAUUCUAGGAACUUCAGGAAAAGACCAGUUGCACUUGCAUAUGUUGAUACUAAGCUGCUAAUUGAUGACAAUUAUGAUCGCAUGGUUGCUGAAACCAUUAAUCCAAGAGCGAUAUUGUGCGAUGUGAUGCAGUGCUUGGGGAUGUUUCAAGAGUGACACGAUUAAGUGCCAAAAGCCUAUAGAGGAUUGAUCACAUUUCUAAUUUUCAAUAUGUAAAAAUAAUUAAUGAAGUUAAUAUUUUAUCCUCCGGUUUGUAUUUAUCUUCUAAUUUGUAUUAGAAUAUUUAUUUUCUUGAAAAAAUAAUUAAUAAAGUUAAUUUUA